AUAUUUAUUGAUGUGUAAAAUCAAAAAUACAAGUGUGUAAAUCACAUAGAGAGUGUAUCAAGUACAAGGGAAACAUAGGAAAGAACUGGCUGUGAGUGAAACUGUAACAAAAUGGAUGUGUUAGGGAGAGACAAAAUGGAUGACUGAAGUGAUGAUAAGAGCAAUGUUUUGUGUUUACAUUAUUGUUGAAUAAAACAACCAGCAGAAGCAAGCUGGGGAUGAAUUAAGAUGCACCGUGUCCACAUUUGCUAUCUCACACCGGCUUUUAUACAGGUCGGUAGACUGUCGGGACCACACAAAUAUGCACUUUUGGGGUUUGAAUAUGGUUGUGUGAAGUUUCUGUAUUGUUUUGGGUGUUAAGAAUGUUGAAGUUAGUGGGUUACUGGUUGCGAAUGUUUCUGUGUGCUGUGUUGGAAGAUAUAAUAACGUGUAGCAUGGGCAUGUUUCUUGACAGGUCAUUCCAUAACCUGUGGUGGUUGCAGACGUUGUAAUGAGGAUAUGGCAUAG